rnacentral:rRNA from 1 species
CUGUCCUACGGGACGCAGCAGUGAGGAAUAUUGGUCAAUGGGCUAAGGCCUGAACCAGCCAAGUCGCGUGAGGGAAGACGGUCCUAUGGAUUGUAAACCUCUUUUGUCGGGGAGCAACGAGGCCACGUGUGGCCGAAGUGAGAGUACCCGAAGAAAAAGCAUCGGCUAACUCCGUGCCAGCAGCCGCGGUAAUACGGAGGAUGCGAGCGUUAUCCGGAUUUAUUGGGUUUAAAGGGUGCGUAGGCGGGCUGUUAAGUCAGCGGUCAAAUGUCGGGGCUCAACCCCGGCCUGCCGUUGAAACUGGC